UCCAGGUUGAGGUGGUGGUAUCCAUAG
rnacentral:sRNA from 1 species